rnacentral:misc_RNA from 1 species
AAAAGAACUAAAAGAAAAACAUACAGACCAAAUAUAUACUAUAACAACCGAUAACGGUGCCAAUAUGUUAAAAGCAGUAAGAAUAUUAGCUUCAGAUGAAGAUUGUGAUAACAUUUUAGAACAAACUGAAGAGUCUGAAGACAAUACAAAUAACAUCGAUUGUGAUAUAUAUUUAGAAAAAGAUGAGAAAGAUGACGAAACAGAUGAAACAGAUUACUUAAACGUUUUUGAGAAUAUUGAAAGUGAUAUAAAUUCUAAUUUUCAAAAUAAUAUUUUAACUUUAACAGGUAUUAGAUGUGCAGCUCAUACUUUACAAUUAGCAAUUGAUGAUGCUUUAAAAAAAACAAAGACUAUAUUACAGUUAAUUUUAAAAGCUAGAAAUUUAGCAAAAAAAUUAAGAACUCAAACGUUUAUUUAUUUAAUAAAGAAACAACACUUGAAAAAGCCUACAAUUGAUUGUCCGACUCGGUGGUGUUCUACUAUAGAUAUGCUUGAAAUCUGUUACUACUAAAAGAUUAUUGUGAAGAACUAUCUGUAACAAAAUUUCAAAAUUUUGUAAGGCUAAAAGAUACUGAAUGGUCAAAAAUUAAAGAGAUAUGUACAGCUUUGCGACCGGCAAAAAUUUGUACCAAAAAACUUCAGAAAGAACAAUUGACUUUAAGUGAAUUUUUUGGAGUUUGGUUUGAAACAAAAGUAGCAACAGAGGCAGUACAAACUCCUUUCGCUACUUUUAUCGUAGAACAAAUGGUAUAUCGCGAACAGAAGUUAAUAAAUAAUGAUAUAUUAUUAUCCGCUGUUUACUUGGAUCCUCGAUACAAAGUAUUAUUAAGUAAUACACAAUUAGAAAGGGCUAAAAUUCAUUUAAAACAUCUUUGGGCCAAAAUAAUAUCAUUAAAUCGCAAUGAUAAUUCAAUGAAUGAAUCAAACGAAAAUUUCAAUGGAAGUUCUUCAAAUUCAAGUGAAACAGCUUCUACACAUGAUGAAUUUGAAAAUCUUUUGAAACUCAAAGAACGACAGCAAAAUUUAACAAAGACAUAUUCAUCUAGAGAAUCGGAUUUGUAUCGAAUAGAAACUGAACUUGAAAGAUACAACAUUGAACAAAAAAGACUUAAUAGAAAAAUAAAUGUAUUACAAUUUUGGAAUGAAAAGAAACAAAAUCAAUCCGAAUUAUAUAAAUUAGCAACGACUGUUCUAGCUGUAUCUGCCACUCAAGUCAGUGUAGAACGAUUAUUCUCUGGAUUAAAAUUCAUUUUGUCUCCAUUGCGGACAAAUAUCGGUGAAAAUAUUUUAGAAAACCAAUUGCUUGUUAGAGCUAACAGAAUAUUUUGUCAUGAAAAAGAGACAAAAUCACAUAUAAAAGAAAAAAGACCAUUGUCAUUAAAUACAAACGAAUGUGUAGUUCCAAAGAUGUUAAAAAAAUGCCAAUUCUAGAUAAUUAACGAUAAAAAUUGGGAUUUUAGCCCGAUUUUAGUCGGCGCAUAUAUACUAACUUUGUUGAUGAGCACGCAAAUAUCGCCAAGAUUUUUAUAACUUGUCUGUAGUGAGAAUUUAUUUUUUAAGUUAGUUUAUUUAUUCUUAUUAUUGUGUUGAUUUUGCGAUUAUUUGUUGCCUCUUUUUCUCUUUCUACGAAGGACUCGUUCAAACAUUAUUAUUCACACAUUGGUACUGCAAUAUUAUUUACGAUAAUUCGUAGCAUCAAAAUGUGUUACAUAAUUCAGAUAAAAUUUUGUUAAAUAUUUUUAUAAAAAUUACUUUUGAAGAUACGAUUUUAUCAUUUUUCAUCUAUCCUAAGCUUAUGAUAGAUGUAUUGCUAUUUAGUUAGUUAUUAUAAGUUUCAAGUCAUCAGAUUCGCGAUUAUAAGUCUGUCGGUUUGAACCUAGUUAAUCCAAAUGAUAAUUUUAUAGUACAAUCUAGCGGAAUGGUAAUUUGAAUAAUAAUUUUGUUGUCUAGAAGUCUAGAGUGCACUAUAGAAUAGAACACUAAUUUGAAGUAUGCCUGUGCGUUGAAUGGAUUUGCAAUUCGACACACUCGUCUGCGCAGAUGUUGCGCAAAUGACAACAUUUAAAACUUGACAUUUAUAAUGCGCUGCAAAUGAAAUGAUCUCACUUGAUUCGUGAUAUCGCGAAGAAGUUAUUUUUUUAUUAAGUUAUCUUUAUUAAAAGU